rnacentral:rRNA from 1 species
AUUGAACGCUGGCGGCAUGCCUAACACAUGCAAGUCGAGCGGGCACUCCGGUCCUAUCGGCGUACGGCUGAGUAAUGCUUGGGAAUCUUCCCAGUAGUCGGGCAUAACUUCCCGAAUGGGACGCUUAUACCGCAUACGUCCUACGGGAGAAAGAGGUGUAUCUUCGCACCUCUCGCUAUUGUAUGAGCCCACGUCGGAUUAGCUAGUUGGUAGGGUAAUGGCCUACCAAGGCGACGAUCCGUAGCUGGUCUGAGAGGAUGAUCAGCCACACUGGAACUGAGACACGGUCCAGACUCCUACGGGAGGCAGCAGUGGGGAAUAUUGGACAAUGGGCGAAAGCCUGAUCCAGCCAUGCCGCGUGUGUGAAGAAGGCCUUCGGGUUGUAAAGCACUUUAAGCGGGGAGGAAGGUUCGCGGCCUAAUACGUCGCCGUAUUGACGUUACCCGCACAAAAAGCACCGGCUAACUCUGUG